GUCUCAGUUCGGACUGUGGUCUGCAACUCGACCACACGAAGCUGGAAUCGCUAGUAAUCGCGAAUCAGCAUGUCGCGGUGAAUGCGUUCCCGGGUCUUGUACACACCGCCCGUCACACCAUGGGAGUCAGCAACGCCCGAAGUCAGUGACCUAACCGAAAGGAAGGAGCUGCCGAAGGCGGGGCAGGUAACUGGGGUGAAGUCGUAACAAGGUAUC
rnacentral:rRNA from 1 species